rnacentral:rRNA from 1 species
GGUGAAGACCGGAAUAGAAAAAGGAAAAUGAGUUCCGUGGAGAGAGUGACAAGGUGUCUGAGGGGUAGUUGGUUAGGUAAAGGCUGACCAAGCCGAGGAUAGAUAGCGGUGUUGAAAGACAGUCCCGCCUCACUGGUGAUGAAAACGAACCAGACUUCAAUGGAAGGCAGCAGUCGAGAAUCUUGGUCAAUGGGCGAAAGCCUGAACCAGCGACGCCAAAGACCGAUGACAGCAUCUGCUGUAAAGGUCAGAACUCUACGAGGAGAAUGACGGUAGUAGAGGAGAAGUCUCGUCUAAUGAUUGUGCCAGCAGACGCGGUCAUACAACGGAGGCAAGUGUUGUUCAUCAGGACUCGGUGUAAAGGGCAGGUAGGCGGUGAUUUGAACGACUUGAGUGAAAGCUAUCCAAUACGGGGUAAAGAAGGUCAAAGUAACGGGAUCACUUGAGUCUGAGAGAGGUAUACGGAAUGACUUCGGGACUAGUGAAAUGGGAUGAUCGAAGUCGGAACUCCAGAGGUGAAGACGGUAUACUGGAUCAGAAGGGAGGGAAGCUUCCCACACGACGAAGGAGCGAAAGCCGAUUCGGGGUGGAAACUGACGCUGAACUGCGAAAGCAUAGGGAGCAAAAGGGAUUAGAGACCCCUGUAGUCUAUGCUGUAAACGAUGUACAUUGAUUGUCAGGGUAGACUUUGGUUGAAUCCUGGGAAUUCAGCUAACGCAUAAAAUGUACCACCUGGAGAGUAUAGUCGCAAGACCGAAACUCAAAGAACCAGCCGGGCACUUAACAGACCUGUGGAACAUGCCAUUUAAUUCGAUAAUACGCGAGGAACCUUACCGUACCUAGGAGGUCCUGGAGGCUGACCCUGCUUGAAGGGUGGGGAAGGAGGAAGGGAUCGUCAGGUGUCACAUAGCUGUCGUCAGUUCGUGCCGUGAGGUCUUUGGUUCAGUCCAAGUAACGAACGUAACCCAAGUGACACGGACCCGGAAACGGGAGUCCGAGUCAGAAAGCUCCAGACAAUGGAGAGGAAGUUGGAUGAAGUCAAGUCCGUAUGACCCAUAUGAUACGGGCCAUCGGUGUGUUACAAGGGUCCCGAGAAAGACAAAGGGAAGCGAUGAUGCGAAUCGGAGCGAAUCCCAGAAAACGGACCGUAAUUCAGAUUGUAGACUGAAACUCGUCUACAUGAAGGUGGAACAGGUAGUAAUCGAUGAUCAGAACGCAUCGGUGAACAUGAUUCGAAGUGUUGGGCUUACCGCCCGUCAGUGACUGAGAACUGUCUGGAUACGAAGUGAGGAGGGAACCCCCUUGGGGAAAGGGGGAGACGUCCUUACGACUAGCUGGGUGGUGAUUGGUUAUAAGUCGUAACAAGGUGACCGUUGGUGAACCAGUGGUCG